UCUCAUCUGAGUCUGGAUCCACUGCAGAGGGACAUACUGCAUGAGACCGCAGCACUGAGGGACUGACUGUGGAGCACAGGAGCACACAUCCAAGAUCUGAUGAGCACUGGUCAGUUGAAUCUCUCUUCACCUCUUUGCCGUGGAUACCAUCGCCCGCCCAGCGUCGCCUGGUCAGACUCUGUCUGCAAAGAUGUUUUUUUUAAUGAGCGGUGAAACUUAAUUUUUAGUGGACAGCAACGUUAGAAGAGAACAAGCAGCGGCUGGGAUAAGACUCUCUGCUGACUCUCUGUUGGCUGAGCAGACAGCGGAUCUUUGUGCACAGACGACCGACGUGUCCUUGCCUUGAUGCAAACUCGUCAGACCAAACUUGACGUGUAAUGACCUUUUUGUCACACUUGCUGCAUGAAUUAUGUCUCAACGCGGCCCUUUGUUGUUUGUGUCAAGAAAACAACAAGGACCUUCCACCAUAAUAUGAAUAAGAAUUGCCAAGGCCAAUGAUUAAAAAUUGCUUUGUGAGCCCAUUUUAAUGCAGAACCAGAAAAAACAAACACAAGGUGUAUUUAUUUUGUUUAUUUAGUGUUUUGGACAUUAUCGUUAUUGUUGCUAUUCCUGUGCCACUUGUAUAAUACACGCAUCUGUUUAAUAGGAAGGUCACAGUGUCUUCUCACCACAUGUGAUUAAUAGAGGCAUGGUAGCCCAAAGCAUGCAGAGCACCAGCAACACUGAAUUUAACACUUGUAACCGACUAAUUGAACUGUUCAUUAUGACUCAUGGAUGAGGUGUCACUCAGCUUCUCUGUCACUGCAACGUCUGCAUCAUUUGUUUUGAUCUACAUUUGCAUGUUAUACCACGUUUGUACCAUCAGACAAUUCGAUUAUUUCACUUAAAGGUUCAAUAUGCAGUUGUUAAGCACCACUAACUCGUCAUCGCGGUUGAUCACACGUGUCAGACUGUGAUCAGGCAGCUAAGUCCAGUGAGCUACCAUAGCUAUUCUAGGCAGUCGCCAAUGAAUACAGAUGUUAAAAUAACUUAUGCAUCAGUACGAGUCCAGCAGAAGCUCAGAGUCUUUUCUGAGCCCUUUCUCGGCUCGUU